rnacentral:rRNA from 1 species
UACGGGGGGGGCAAGCGUUGUUCGGAAUUACUGGGCGUAAAGGGCUCGUAGGCGGCCAACUAAGUCGGAUGUGAAAUCCCCAGGCUUAACCUGGGAACUGCAUCCGAUACUGGAUGGCUUGAAUCCGGGAGAGGGAUGCAGAAUUCCAGGUGUAGCGGUGAAAUGCGUAGAUAUCUGGAGGAAUACCGGUGGCGAAGGCGGCAUCCUGGACCGGCAUUGACGCUGAGGAGCGAAAAGCUAGGGGAGCAAACGGGG